GAUGAACGCUAGCUACAGGCUUAACACAUGCAAGUCGAGGGGAAACGACAUCGAAAGCUUGCUUUUGAUGGGCGUCGACCGGCGCACGGGUGAGUAACGCGUAUCCAACCUGCCCAUCACUUGGGAAUAACCUUGCGAAAGUAAGACUAAUACCCAAUGAUAUCCCACGAAGGCAUCGGAAUGGGAUUAAAGAUUUAUCGGUGAUGGAUGGGGAUGCGUCUGAUUAGCUUGUUGGCGGGGUAACGGCCCACCAAGGCAACGAUCAGUAGGGGUUCUGAGAGGAAGGUCCCACACAUUGGAACUGAGACACGGUCCAAACUCCUACGGGAGGCAGCAGUGAGGAAUAUUGGUCAAUGGGCGAGAGCCUGAACCAGCCAAGUAGCGUGCAGGAAGACGGCCCUAUGGGUUGUAAACUGCUUUUAUAAGGGAAUAAAGUGGGUCACGUGUGACUUUUUGCAUGUACCUUAUGAAUAAGGACCGGCUAAUUCCGUG
rnacentral:rRNA from 1 species